rnacentral:tRNA from 1 species
GGGGCUGUAGCUCAGUGGUAGAGUGCUUGCCUACCAUGUGCAAGGCAUUAAGUUUGAUCCUCAGCACCG